rnacentral:rRNA from 1 species
GUGCCAGCCGCCGCGGUAAUACAGAGGUCCCAAGCGUUGUUCGGAUUCACUGGGCGUAAAGGGUGCGUAGGUGGCCUGGAAAGUUUGAUGUGAAAGCUCGGAGCUUAACUCCGAAAUGGCAUUGAAUACUACUGGGCUUGAGGGUCGGAGGGGAGACUGGAAUUCUCGGUGUAGCAGUGAAAUGCGUAGAUAUCGAGAGGAACACCAGUGGCGAAGGCGAGUCUCUGGACGACCCCUGACACUGAGGCACGAAAGCUAGGGGAGCAAACAGGAUUAGAAACCCCCGUAGUCC